UACGGGGGAUGCAAGCGUUAUUCGGAAUUAUUGGGCGUAAAGAGCUUGUAGGCGGUUUGUCGCGUCUGCUGUGAAAAUCCGGGGCUCAACCCCGGACUUGCAGUGGGUACGGGCAGACUAGAGUGUGGUAGGGGAGACUGGAAUUCCUGGUGUAGCGGUGAAAUGCGCAGAUAUCAGGAGGAACACCGAUGGCGAAGGCAGGUCUCUGGGCCACUACUGACGCUGAGAAGCGAAAGCGUGGGGAGCGAACAGGAUUAGAUACCCUGGUAGUCCACGCCGUAAACGUUGGGAACUAGGUGUGGGUCUCAUUCCACGAGAUCCGUGCCGCAGCUAACGCAUUAAGUGCCCCGCCUGGGGAGUACGGCCGCAAGGCUAAA
rnacentral:rRNA from 1 species